CCUACGGGCGGCAGCAGUGGGGGAUAUUGGACAAUGGGGGAAACCCUGAUCCAGCGACGCCGCGUGAGUGAAGAAGUAUUUCGGUAUGUAAAGCUCUGUCAGCAGGGAAGAAAGAAAUGACGGUACCUGACCAAGAAGCCCCGGCUAACUACGUGCCAGCAGCCGCGGUAAUACGUAGGGGGCAAGCGUUCUCCGUAAUUACUGGGGGUAAAGGGAGCGUAGACGGUGAUGCAAGUCUGGAGUGAAAGGCGGGGGCCCAACCCCCGGACUGCUCGUGAAACUGGGGAACUUGAGUGCAGGAGAGGUAGGCGGAAUUCCUAGUGUAGCGGUGAAAUGCGUAGAUAUUAGGAGGAACACCAGUGGCGAAGGCGGCUUACUGGACUGUAACUGACGUUGAGGCUCGAAAGCGUGGGGAGCAAACAGGAUUAGAUACCCCAGUAGUC
rnacentral:rRNA from 1 species